rnacentral:rRNA from 1 species
AACCCGACUCCAUGAAGCUGGAUUCGCUAGUAAUCGCGCAUCAGCCACGGCGCGGUGAAUACGUUCCCGGGCCCUUGUACACACCGCCCGUCAAGCCAUGGGAGUCGGGAGUGCCUGAAGUGCGUGAGCGCGAGCAGCGCCCUAGGGCAAAACCGAUGACUGGGGCUAAGUCGUAACAAGGUAGC